ACAACUUUGGGAAACUGGAGCUAAUACCGGAUAAUCCCUAACGGGGAAAGAUUUAUCGCACUAUGAUGAGCCCGCGGCAGAUUAGGUAGUUGGUGGGGUAAGAGCCUACCAAGCCGACGAUCUGUAGCUGGUCUGAGAGGAUGGACAGCCACACCGGAACUGAGACACGGUCCGGACUCCUACGGGAGGCAGCAGUGGGGAAUAUUGGACAAUGGGGGCAACCCUGAUCCAGCCAUGCCGCGUGAGUGACGAAGGCCUUCGGGUUGUAAAACUCUUUUAUAUGAGAAGAUAAUGACGGUAUCAUAUGAAUAAGCACCGGCUAACUUCGUGCCAGCAGCCGCGGUAAUACGAAGGGUGCGAGCGUUGUUCGGAAUUACUGGGCGUAAAGGGCGCGUAGGCGGUCUAGAAAGAUAGAGGUGAAAUUCCAAGGCUUAACCUUGGAACUGCCUUUAUAACUAUUAGGCUAGAGUAUGGUAGAGGUAAGCGGAAUACCCAGUGUAGAGGUGAAAUUCGUAGAUAUUGGGUAGAACACCGGAUGCGAAGGCGGCUUACUGGGCCAUUACUGACGCUGAGGCGCGAAAGCGUGGAUAGCAAACAGGAUUAGAUACCCUGGUAGUCCACGCCCUAAACGAUGAGUGCUUGAUGUCGGGAAUAAUUUCGGUGUCGAAGCUAACGCGAUAAGCACUCCGCCUGGGAAGUACGCUCGCAAGACUAAAACUCAAAGGAAUUGACGGGGACCCGCACAAGCGGUGGAGCAUGUGGUUUAAUUCGAAGCAACGCGAAGA
rnacentral:rRNA from 1 species